rnacentral:tRNA from 1 species
GAGGAUGUAGCUCAGUGUUAGAGUGCUUACCUGGCAUAGGUAAGGACCUGGGUUCAAUCCCCAGUACCUCU